GAUGAACGCUGGCGGCGUGCCUAAUACAUGCAAGUCGAGCGAACAGACGAGGAGCUUGCUCCUCUGACGUUAGCGGCGGACGGGUGAGUAACACGUGGAUAACCUACCUAUAAGACUGGGAUAACUUCGGGAAACCGGAGCUAAUACCGGAUAAUAUAUUGAACCGUAUGGUUCAAUAGUGAAAGACGGUUUUGCUGUCACUUAUAGAUGGAUCCGCGCCGCAUUAGCUAGUUGGUAAGGUAACGGCUUACCAAGGCAACGAUGCGUAGCCGACCUGAGAGGGUGAUCGGCCACACGGGAACUGAGACACGGUCCAGACUCCUACGGGAGGCAGCAGUAGGGAAUCUUCCGCAAAGGGCGAAAGCCUGACGGAGCAACGCCGCGUGAGUGAUGAAGGUCUUCGGAUCGUAAAACUCUGUUAUUAGGGAAGAACAAAUGUGUAAGUAACUAUGCACGUCUUGACGGUACCUAAUCAGAAAGCCACGGCUAACUACGUG
rnacentral:rRNA from 1 species